GGCAUAUGCAGUAAGAGUGCUCCAUUCAGAAAGAAAAGAGUUUGAGAAGCGACACGGUUGGAGUAUUAAGAGAAUGGAUUCACGUGAACCAACUCCAGUUCACAAAGACAAUGAGUAUGAUAGAGAUGGCCUGGAGCCAUCUCCAAUUCAGGCAGAAUAUGCCCCUGUUAUUUUUGCACAGGAUACGAUUGCACAUGUAAUUUCUGUUGAUAUGCUCUCUGGAAAGGAAGAUCGCGAGAAUGUUUUACGUGCAAGGGAAUCAGGAAAGGGUGUCCUCACAGCUCCAUUCAGACUACUUAAAACAAAUCGCCUUGGGGUGAUAAAGACAUUUGCAGUUUACAAAACUGAUCUUCCUUCUAAUGCAACUCCAAAUGAAAGGAUC
rnacentral:misc_RNA from 1 species